rnacentral:rRNA from 1 species
GGGUUGUGAGGUUAAGCGACUAAGCGUACACGGUGGAUGCCCUGGCAGUCAGAGGCGAUGAAGGGCGUGCUAAUCUGCGAUAAGCGCCGGUAAGGUGAUAUGAACCGUUAUAACCGGCGAUACCCGAAUGGGGAAACCCAGUGUGACUCGUCACACUAUCAUUAACUGAAUCCAUAGGUUAAUGAGGCGAACCGGGGGAACUGAAACAUCUAAGUACCCCGAGGAAAAGAAAUCAACCGAGAUUCCCCCAGUAGCGGCGAGCGAACGGGGAGGAGCCCAGAGCCUGAAUCAGCAUGUGUGUUAGUGGAAGCGUCUGGAAAGGCGCGCGAUACAGGGUGACAGCCCCGUACACAAAAGCGCAUGUGCUGUGAGCUCGAUGAGUAGGGCGGGACACGUGGUAUCCUGUCUGAAUAUGGGGGGACCAUCCUCCAAGGCUAAAUACUCCUGACUGACCGAUAGUGAACCAGUACCGUGAGGGAAAGGCGAAAAGAACCCCGGCGAGGGGAGUGAAAAAGAACCUGAAACCGUGUACGUACAAGCAGUGGGAGCACCCUUUUGGGUGUGACUGCGUACCUUUUGUAUAAUGGGUCAGCGACUUAUAUUCUGUAGCAAGGUUAACCGAAUAGGGGAGCCGGAGGGAAACCGAGUCUUAAUUGGGCGUUAAGUUGCAGGGUAUAGACCCGAAACCCGGUGAUCUAGCCAUGGGCAGGUUGAAGGUUGGGUAACACUAACUGGAGGACCGAACCGACUAAUGUUGAAAAAUUAGCGGAUGACCUGUGGCUGGGGGUGAAAGGCCAAUCAAACCGGGAGAUAGCUGGUUCUCCCCGAAAGCUAUUUAGGUAGCGCCUCGUGAAUUCAUCUCCGGGGGUAGAGCACUGUUUCGGCUAGGGGGCCAUCCCGGCUUACCAACCCGAUGCAAACUGCGAAUACCGGAGAAUGUUAUCACGGGAGACACACGGCGGGUGCUAACGUCCGUCGUGAAGAGGGAAACAACCCAGACCGCCAGCUAAGGUCCCAAAGUCAUGGUUAAGUGGGAAACGAUGUGGGAAGGCCCAGACAGCCAGGAUGUUGGCUUAGAAGCAGCCAUCAUUUAAAGAAAGCGUAAUAGCUCACUGGUCGAGUCGGCCUGCGCGGAAGAUGUAACGGGGCUAAACCAUGCACCGAAGCUGCGGCAGCGACGCUGAUGCGUUGUUGGGUAGGGGAGCGUUCUGUAAGCCUGCGAAGGUGGCCUGUGAGGGUUGCUGGAGGUAUCAGAAGUGCGAAUGCUGACAUAAGUAACGAUAAAGCGGGUGAAAAGCCCGCUCGCCGGAAGACCAAGGGUUCCUGUCCAACGUUAAUCGGGGCAGGGUGAGUCGACCCCUAAGGCGAGGCCGAAAGGCGUAGUCGAUGGGAAACGGGUUAAUAUUCCCGUACUUGGUGUUACUGCGAAGGGGGGACGGAGAAGGCUAUGUUGGCCGGGCGACGGUUGUCCCGGUUUAAGCGUGUAGGUGUGUGUUCCAGGUAAAUCCGGUUCACUUUAACACUGAGGCGUGAUGACGAGGCACUACGGUGCUGAAGCAACAAAUGCCCUGCUUCCAGGAAAAGCCUCUAAGCAUCAGGUAACAUCAAAUCGUACCCCAAACCGACACAGGUGGUCAGGUAGAGAAUACCAAGGCGCUUGAGAGAACUCGGGUGAAGGAACUAGGCAAAAUGGUGCCGUAACUUCGGGAGAAGGCACGCUGACACGUAGGUGAAGUGAUUUACUCACGGAGCUGAAGUCAGUCGAAGAUACCAGCUGGCUGCAACUGUUUAUUAAAAACACAGCACUGUGCAAACACGAAAGUGGACGUAUACGGUGUGACGCCUGCCCGGUGCCGGAAGGUUAAUUGAUGGGGUCAGCGCAAGCGAAGCUCCUGAUCGAAGCCCCGGUAAACGGCGGCCGUAACUAUAACGGUCCUAAGGUAGCGAAAUUCCUUGUCGGGUAAGUUCCGACCUGCACGAAUGGCGUAAUGAUGGCCAGGCUGUCUCCACCCGAGACUCAGUGAAAUUGAACUCGCUGUGAAGAUGCAGUGUACCCGCGGCAAGACGGAAAGACCCCGUGAACCUUUACUAUAGCUUGACACUGAACAUUGAGCCUUGAUGUGUAGGAUAGGUGGGAGGCUUUGAAGUGUGGACGCCAGUCUGCAUGGAGCCGACCUUGAAAUACCACCCUUUAAUGUUUGAUGUUCUAACGUGGACCCGUGAUCCGGGUUGCGGACAGUGUCUGGUGGGUAGUUUGACUGGGGCGGUCUCCUCCUAAAGAGUAACGGAGGAGCACGAAGGUUGGCUAAUCCUGGUCGGACAUCAGGAGGUUAGUGCAAUGGCAUAAGCCAGCUUGACUGCGAGCGUGACGGCGCGAGCAGGUGCGAAAGCAGGUCAUAGUGAUCCGGUGGUUCUGAAUGGAAGGGCCAUCGCUCAACGGAUAAAAGGUACUCCGGGGAUAACAGGCUGAUACCGCCCAAGAGUUCAUAUCGACGGCGGUGUUUGGCACCUCGAUGUCGGCUCAUCACAUCCUGGGGCUGAAGUAGGUCCCAAGGGUAUGGCUGUUCGCCAUUUAAAGUGGUACGCGAGCUGGGUUUAGAACGUCGUGAGACAGUUCGGUCCCUAUCUGCCGUGGGCGCUGGAGAACUGAGGGGGGCUGCUCCUAGUACGAGAGGACCGGAGUGGACGCAUCACUGGUGUUCGGGUUGUCAUGCCAAUGGCACUGCCCGGUAGCUAAAUGCGGAAGAGAUAAGUGCUGAAAGCAUCUAAGCACGAAACUUGCCCCGAGAUGAGUUCUCCCUGAGACUUAGAGUCUCCUGAAGGAACGUUGAAGACGACGACGUUGAUAGGCCGGGUGUGUAAGCGCAGCGAUGCGUUGAGCUAACCGGUACUAAUGAACCGUGAGGCUUAACCUUACAACGCCGAAG